rnacentral:rRNA from 1 species
GGGUGUGAUCAUACCAGCACCAAUGGACCGGAUCCCAUCAAAACUCCACAGUUAAGCAUGCUUGGGAAAGAGUAGUACUAGGAUGGGUGACCGCCUGGGAAGUAGUCGUGGUGCACCCC